UACGUAGGUGACAAGCGUUGUCCGGAUUUACUGGGCGUAAAGAGCGCGCAGGCGGUCGUUCAAGUCGAGUGUGAAAGCCCCCGGCUCAACUGGGGAGGGUCAUUCGAUACUGAUCGACUCGAAGGCAGGAGAGGGAAGUGGAAUUCCAGGUGUAGCGGUGAAAUGCGUAGAUAUCUGGAGGAACACCGGUGGCGAAGGCGGCGUUCUGGACUGCAACUGACACUGAGGAACGAAAGCCAGGGGAGCAAACGGG
rnacentral:rRNA from 1 species